AAAUAUACGGAUUUUGACAGCAAGGUGGAGUGGACUCAUUUAUUACCAACAUUUCUCCUUCCUCUUAUUCCUUCUACUUAGUUGUACGUGCCAACAAUAACAAACCUCUCUGAUUUCUACUCCUCUGUUUUUCUCUCUGUCUUUUAUUUCUCUAUAAAACAAAACAGUGCUAUGUUUGGUUUCUGCCCCCACAUAUAGAUAGAGAGAAAAUAUUUACUCACGUGUUUUGGAAUUCUGAACUUGUGGGGUUCAAGAUUAACAAGCUACUCCUCUCAUGGGUGGUGAAGGUUGGAAUCUUUGUAGUAGGGGUACUUCAAGUUCAAGUUCAGGGAUAUUUUCAUCCAUGAAGCUCUUGCUUUUCAUGUUGCCUCUUGUACUUGUUGCUGCACUAAUUUGUGUAAAGGGUCCUAACCCCUCAAGUUGGUUUCUAGUUACUACCAACCCACCUCUCUUAUUAAACUCUGUUAUUCCCUCUGCUUCAAAAAAUGGUAGUGGUGGUGGUGUGAGCACUAUGGAAUUGGAGGUCCCACCUGUGAAACAGAAAGAAGGGUUAGUGAUGGAAGGAGCUGUGGAUCUUAUAGGGGAAAAGAAGAAAGCUAUCCCUGAUGAUAACACUGCCUUCAAUCAGUCCUUUACUUCCCAAGUUUCAGUUCAGGAUCAGGACAUAGCAGGAACACCUCCUGAACCACCUGCUAACAAAAAUGAAGAAGGUUUCAAUGUCUCCAAAAAUUUGCCUAACAUGGCCCCUGAGAAUGAAUCUUAUGUUCCUCCAGAGAGACCAAAGCAGCAGAGGAAGUAUAGCAUCUUAGAUAGAACAGAAGCUGGGCUACUACAAGCUAGAGCUGCAAUAAGAGAAGCAAGAAAUGGGAACCAAACACAAGAUAUGGACUAUGUUCCUGUUGGACCAAUGUAUCAUAAAGCUAAUGCAUUUCACAGAAGUUACUUAGAAAUGGAGAAACAGUUCAAGGUAUUUGUCUAUGAAGAAGGGGAGGUACCAAUUUUCCAUAAUGGACCUUGCAGAAGCAUAUAUUCAUCAGAGGGAAAUUUCAUCAAUGCUAUUGACAUGAAUGACCAUUUCAGAACAAGGGAUCCUGAAAAAGCACACGUAUUUUUCCUUCCUUUCAGUAUAACAAAUAUGGUCCAAUAUCUCUAUGUACCUGAUUCUCUUGAUCGUAGCCCCAUACAAAAAACUGUGAAGGACUAUGUCAAUCUCAUUGUUCAAAGAUACCCCUUUUGGAACAGAAGCCUAGGAGCUGAUCACUUCAUGCUUUCUUGCCAUCAGGGGCGGACCCACAGCCAAGUCAGGGGUUCAGAUGAACCCCCUGAAAAAAAGAAAAAUUCUACUUACCCCCUGUUAUGUUUUUUUUUUGAACCCCCUGAGAAAUUUAAUUUGCACCCAGACCCCAACUUACUCCUCUCUCUCACACACACUCACAGAGUCACAGACUCACGCUCUCACCCUCUCACGAUUCACGCUCACCACGCCCUCACUCUCUCGCAUUCUCACUAGGUCAUCAAGAUUCAAACACGCACGACACGGCGCAUCACCACCGGCCACCACCACGCCACGCCACCACCGUCCACCAGUCCAGCCGCCCCUCUGCGGCUCUACCCUAGGUGCUGGAGUUGUUGGGUUUCAAUCUAGGAUGGUGGAUAUGGGAUUUGCAGAUCUGGAUGGUUACUGUUAUGGGUGUAUUUGGGAGGUUUGGGUUUGAAGUAGAAGGUUAAUUCUUGGGGCUACUUGUGGCUCAUUGGGGUAGCUAUGGGGGUUGUGGUUUUUUUUUUGCUGCAGUUGCAAAACCACAGCGAAGCACCUGUAAUUGAUGAAUUACUUUGUCAAAUGCAUCCCUUUCAUUUUUUCAAUGCAGGACCUAGAACCAAAUAAGCAUGUGUUAAAUGAAUUUUUAGAUUUGAUUUGAAUUGUUCAAGAACAAUUUCAAGUUUCAACGAUGGGUGAUGAAAAAUUGUGGACAGUGGGUGGUUGAAUUUGGUUUUUAAUUCAGCAGGUGAAACUGUGAGUUGUGUUCUUCCAUAAUUAAUUAGAUAAUUUCAAGGGUGAUGGUAUUUUCAAGGGUGGUAAUUGUAAUCCAGCGGAAGUAUUUGAAAAGAGUAAAUAGAGGGCAUGGGAGUGGUUGCGGGCCAGGGAUAAGGAUUUCCUACAUGCUUUUGGAGAAUGGUAUUGCGUGUAUUGCUGAUGAGUUGAGGAUGAUAUUGCUGCAGCAGGAAGGAAAUUUUUAAUCUGAUUAAUGAGUGAUAUGGUUUUGAUGUUAUUGGAAAGGUCAAAGGAGUAGUAAGGUAAGGUAUGAAUAGAUGCAGCGUGUUUAAAUGCUGGGAGACUCUGGCAUCUGAAUUUCAAUUGGCAUGGUGCGGACUAGAAGUGCAUCUUGGAAUUCAUGAAGCUUUGUUAUACAUUGUUGGGAUUCAUUAGCGAUAUUGGGGGCAUGGUCUUGAUAACAAUAUGAUAUGUGGCUUUUAAUUGUGAGGAUCUAUGUGAGAAGAAGGUUGAUAGUUUUGCAGGGUUCAUUCUUGGGCAUUUGGCAGAGUUGCGUCAGCUUAAUUGGUUGGUGAAUUUCCAUGGCUAAAAUUGCUGGUGUUAGGAAUCAGCUUUGGCAUUUGAAGAUAGUCUAGACUAUAGUACUCCUUGGAGGUAUCUCUAUGGCUUAAGUAAUUUAGUACUCUUUUUAGUGGUGUAUAAUAAAUCAGUCCUUCUAUUCUAGUCUAUUGUAGUGGGAUUGAUUAAUUUAAUUUCACUUUUGAUGACAAAAAAAAAGUGUGCUUGUAGUCUUCAUUUAAUUACAUUUUUAUCGAUUUACUCAUUUGAAAAAUUUGAACCCCCUGACCCCGGGGUCCUGGAUCCGCCACUGCUUGCCAUGAUUGGGUACAUAGAUAACUAGUGUUACUUAUGCAUAAAUCACAACCCCUUCAUUGUUGAUUUAAGAAAGACUCAUACUAAGUACAUAUAUUUGUCUUUGUAAUCCUUCUA